GGAGGGGUGGCAGAGUCCGGUUUAUCGCGCGCGCUUGGAGAGCGUGUGACCCGUGAGGGUCCGGGGGUUCGAAUCCUCUCCCCUCCGCCA
rnacentral:tRNA from 1 species